rnacentral:rRNA from 1 species
GAUCCUGGCUCAGGAUGAACGCUAGCUACAGGCUUAACACAUGCAAGUCGAGGGGAAACGAUAGAGAAAGCUUGCUUUUUCUAGGCGUCGACCGGCGCACGGGUGAGUAACGCGUAUCCCAACCUGCCCAUCACUUGGGGAUAACCUUGCGAAAGUAAGACUAAUACCCAAUGACGUCUCUAGAAGACAUCUGAAAGAGAUUAAAGAUUUAUCGGUGAUGGAUGGGGAUGCGUCUGAUUAGCUUGUUGGCGGGGUAACGGCCCACCAAGGCGACGAUCAGUAGGGGUUCUGAGAGGAAGGUCCCCCACAUUGGGACUGAGACACGGCCCAGACUCCUACGGGAGGCAGCAGUGGGGGAUAUUGCGCAAUGGGGGCAACCCUGACGCAGCAACGCCGCGUGAAGGAUGAAGGUUUUCGGAUUGUAAACUUCUUUUAUUAAGGACGAAACUUGACGGUACUUAAUGAAUAAGCUCCGGCUAACUACGUG